rnacentral:rRNA from 1 species
UACGUAGGCAGCAAGCGUUGUUCGGAGUUACUGGGCGUAAAGGGGGUGUAGGCGGCCCCCUAAGUUUGGUGUGAAAUCUCCCGGCUUAACCGGGAGGGUGCGCCGAAGACUGGAGGGCUAGAGUGCGGGAUGGGAGAGUGGAAUUCCUGGUGUAGCGGUGAAAUGCGUAGAUAUCAGGAGGAACACCUGUGGUGUAGACGGCUCUCUGGACCGCAACUGACGCUGAAACACGAAAGCGUGGGUAGCAAGCAGG